GAUUAUGGCCAUACCACUUUCAAUGUACUUGAUCUCAUCUGAUCUUGGAAGCUAAGCAGAAUGAGGCCUGAUUAGUACUCGAAUGGAAGAUCAAAAUAGUCAAAUAAAUACCAUGUGGA
ensembl:rRNA 5S_rRNA 5S ribosomal RNA